rnacentral:rRNA from 1 species
GAUGAACGCUGGCGGCGUGCCUAAUACAUGCAAGUCGAGCGAACAGACUAGUACCUUCCUCCUCUGACGUUAGCGGCGGACGUGUGAGUAACACGUGGAUAACCUACCUAUAAUACUGGUAUAACUUCGGGACACCGUCGCUAAUACCGUAUAAUAUAUUUAACCGUAUUGUUCAAUAGUGAAAUACGGUUUUGCUUUCACUUAUAGCUUGUUCCGCGGCGCAGUAGCUAGUUGGUUAGGUAACGGUUUACCAAGGCGACGCUUCGUAGCCGACCUGAGAGGGUGAGCGGCCACAAUGGAACUGAGAGACGGUUCAGAAUCGUAAGGGAGGCAGCAGUAGGGAAGCAUGCGGAAGGGGCGAAAGCCGGACGGAGCAACGAAGCGUGAGUGAUGAAGGUCGUCGGAUCGUAAAACGCUGUUAUGAGGGAAGAACAAAUGUGUAAGUAACUAGGCACGUCUUGACGGUACCUAAUCAGAAAGCCACGGCUAACUACGUG